GAACGAACGCUGGCGGCAGGCCUAACACAUGCAAGUCGAACGCCCUGGCAACAGGGAGUGGCAGACGCGUGAGUAACGCGUGGGAAUCUACCUUGUGGUACGGAACAACCAAGGGAAACUUUGGCUAAUACCGUAUGAGCCCUUCGGGCGAAAGAUUUAUCGCCAUAAGAUGAGCCCGCGUAGGAUUAGCUAGUUGGUGAGGUAAAGGCUCACCAAGGCGACGAACCUUAGCUGGUCUGAGAGGAUGACCAGCCACACUGGGACUGAGACACGGCCCAGACUCCUACGGGAGGCAGCAGUGGGGAAUAUUGGACAAUGGGCGCAAGCCUGAUCCAGCCAUGCCGCGUGUGUGAUGACGGCCUUAGGGUUGUAAAGCACUUUCGCCGAUGAAGAUAAUGACUGUAGUCGGAGAAGAAGCCCCGGCUAACUUCGUGCCAGCAGCCGCGGUAAUACGAAGGGGGCUAGCGUUGUUCGGAAUUACUGGGCGUAAAGCGUACGUAGGCGGAUUGUUAAGUGAGGGGUGAAAUCCCGAGGCUCAAC
rnacentral:rRNA from 1 species